GGUCUCCCAGCCAUGCUUCCUGUACAGCUUGUGGAACUGGUACCUAUGAUGGCAGGCCUGCAUGAGAUGCUGGAAGACGUGUAAAACUCAGUGAAAUUUUCUUUGUCCUCAGAGAGAUGAUGGCUCCAUUAAAGUGUCCAGAGAGAACUCAUCUCAAACCAAGGGCAUAGGAGCAGCCACACUUAAGAUCAACUGUCCUUAAUGACAGCAUCAUGAUACACUGGAUUACCCAGUUGCUUGUAAGGAAAGACAGAGAUGAAGUUAUCCUGACUGCUGAGAUGAGCAGUUUACCCCAGGAGGACCUGUGGGACUAUGUUUUGGUAAAGAAAAGUUGAGCUCUCUGUGGGAGUGAGGUUCCAAUGAGGCCAAAUGUACAAGGUGUGUGUUCUAUGGCCUAAAGAGCUGUAGAUGGUGUCACAAUGGCAUGAGAAAGUUUCAAAGAUACAUGUUAUUUGGGGGAGCCUGGGGGAUGGGAUGACUGCUAAAGGGUGUGGGGUUUGUUUCUGGCAUGAUAAAAGUGUGGUAAAUUUGGUUGUGGUGAUAGUUACACAGCUCUGUGGAUAAAAAACAUUGAACUAUACAUUUUAAAUGGGGGGACUGUAUGAUAUGCAAAUUAUAUCUUAAUAAAGAAGUUA